CCUACGGGCGGCAGCAGUGAGGAAUAUUGGUCAAUGGACGAGAGUCUGAACCAGCCAAGUAGCGUGAAGGAUGACUGCCCUAUGGGUUGUAAACUUCUUUUAUAUGGGAAUAAAAUGUUCCACGUGUGGGUUUUUGUAUGUACCAUAUGAAUAAGGAUCGGCUAACUCCGUGCCAGCAGCCGCGGUAAUACGGAGGAUCCGAGCGUUAUCCGGAUUUAUUGGGUUUAAAGGGAGCGUAGGUGGAUUGUUAAGUCAGUUGUGAAAGUUUGCGGCUCAACCGUAAAAUUGCAGUUGAAACUGGCAGUCUUGAGUACAGUAGAGGUAAGCGGAAUUCGUGGUGUAGCGGUGAAAUGCUUAGAUAUCACGAAGAACUCCGAUUGCGAAGGCAGCUCACUGGACUGCAACUGACACUGAGGCUCGAAAGUGUGGGUAUCAAACAGGAUUAGAUACCCCAGUAGUC
rnacentral:rRNA from 1 species